GUAGGUCAUCGGAUCAGAAACGCGGCGCAGGUUACCCCACAAGUCGGGUCCUUUGGGGUUCAGCGGCGGACGGGUGAGUAAGGGGUGGGAACGGCCCUUUGGUUGGGAAUAAUUCAGGGAAACUUAAGUUAAUCCCGGAUAGGCCUUUUUGGGGAAAGGUUUACUGCCGGAAGAUCGGCCCGCGUCUGAUUAGCUAGUUGGUGGGGUAACGGCCUACCAAGGCGACGAUCAGUAGCUGGUCUGAGAGGAUGAUCAGCCACACUGGGACUGAGACACGGCCCAGACUCCUACGGGAGGCAGCAGUGGGGAAUAUUGGACAAUGGGCGCAAGCCUGAUCCAGCCAUGCCGCGUGAGUGAUGAAGGCCUUAGGGUUGUAAAGCUCUUUUAUCCGGGACGAUAAUGACGGUACCGGAGGAAUAAGCCCCGGCUAACUUCGUGCCAGCAGCCGCGGUAAUACGAAGGGGGCUAGCGUUGCUCGGAAUCACUGGGCGUAAAGGGCGCGUAGGCGGUCUUUUAAGUCGGGGGUGAAAGCCUGUGGCUCAACCACAGAAUUGCCUUCGAUACUGGGAGACUUGAGUUCGGAAGAGGUUGGUGGAACUGCGAGUGUAGAGGUGAAAUUGUGA
rnacentral:rRNA from 1 species